rnacentral:rRNA from 1 species
UAGGGAAUCUUCGGCAAUGGACGGAAGUCUGACCGAGCAACGCCGCGUGAGUGAAGAAGGUUUUCGGAUCGUAAAGCUCUGUUGUUCGAGAAGAACGUUGGUAGGAGUGGAAAAUCUACCAAGUGACGGUAACUAACCAGAAAGGGACGGCUAACUACGUGCCAGCAGCCGCGGUAAUACGUAGGUCCCGAGCGUUGUCCGGAUUUAUUGGGCGUAAAGCGAGCGCAGGCGGUUCUUUAAGUCUGAAGUUAAAGGCAGUGGCUUAACCAUUGUACGCUUUGGAAACUGGAGGACGUGAGUGCAGAAGGGGGGAGUGGAAUUCCAUGUGGAGCGGUGAAAUGCGUAGAUAUAUGGAGGAACACCGGUGGCGAAAGCGGCUCUCUGGUCUGUAACUGACGCUGAGGCUCGAAAGCGUGGGGAGCAAACAGG